rnacentral:rRNA from 1 species
GAUGAACGCUGGCGGCGUGCCUAAUACAUGCAAGUCGAGCGAACAGAUAAGGAGCUUGCUCCUUUGACGUUAGCGGCGGACGGGUGAGUAACACGUGGGUAACCUACCUAUAAGACUGGAAUAACUCCGGGAAACCGGGGCUAAUGCCGGAUAACAUUUAGAACCGCAUGGUUCUAAAGUGAAAGAUGGUUUUGCUAUCACUUAUAGAUGGACCCGCGCCGUAUUAGCUAGUUGGUAAGUUAACGGCUUACCAAGGCAACGAUACGUAGCCGACCUGAGAGGGUGAUCGGCCACACUGGAACUGAGACACGGUCCAGACUCCUACGGGAGGCAGCAGUAGGGAAUCGUCCGCAAUGGGCGAAAGCCUGACGGAGCAACGCCGCGUGAGUGAUGAAGGUCUUCGGAUCGUAAAACUCUGUUAUUAGGGAAGAACAAAUGUGUAAGUAACUGUGCACGUCUUGACGGUACCUAAUCAGAAAGCCACGGCUAACUACGUG